rnacentral:rRNA from 1 species
UACAGAGGUCUCAAGCGUUGUUCGGAUUCAUUGGGCGUAAAGGGCGCGUAGGCGGCGAGGUAAGUCGGGUGUGAAAUCUCAGAGCUCAACUCUGAAACUGCACUCGAUACUGCUUUGCUAGAGGACUGGAGAGGAGAUUGGAAUUCACGGUGUAGCAGUGAAAUGCGUAGAUAUCGUGAGGAAGACCAGUGGCGAAGGCGGAUCUCUGGGCCUUACCUGACGCUGAGGAGCGAAAGCGUGGGGAGCGAACAGG